GGAAUAUUCUGCAAUGGACGAAAGUCUGACAGAGCAAUACCGCGUGAAGGAUGAAGGCCUACGGGUUGUAAACUUCUUUUCUCAAGGAGGAAGAAAUGACGUUACUUGAGGAAUAAGCAUCGGCUAACCCUGUGCCAGCAGCCGCGGUAAUACAGGGGAUGCAAGUGUUAUCCGGAAUUAUUGGGCGUAAAGCGUACGUAGGCGGCUUAUCAAGUCUGGGGUUAAAG
rnacentral:rRNA from 1 species